rnacentral:rRNA from 1 species
UGGACGCAAGUCUGAUGGAGCAACGCCGCGUGAGUGAAGAAGGGUUUCGGCUCGUAAAGCUCUGUUGGUAGUGAAGAAAGAUAGAGGUAGUAACUGGCCUUUAUUUGACGGUAAUUACUUAGAAAGUCACGGCUAACUACGUGCCAGCAGCCGCGGUAAUACGUAGGUGGCAAGCGUUGUCCGGAUUUAUUGGGCGUAAAGCGAGUGCAGGCGGUUCAAUAAGUCUGAUGUGAAAGCCUUCGGCUCAACCGGAGAAUUGCAUCAGAAACUGUUGAACUUGAGUGCAGAAGAGGAGAGUGGAACUCCAUGUGUAGCGGUGGAAUGCGUAGAUAUAUGGAAGAACACCAGUGGCGAAGGCGGCUCUCUGGUCUGCAACUGACGCUGAGGCUCGAAAGCAUGGGUAGCGAACAGGAUUAGAUACCCUGGUAGUCCAUGCCGUAAACGAUGAGUGCUAAGUGUUGGGAGGUUUCCGCCUCUCAGUGCUGCAGCUAACGCAUUAAGCACUCCGCCUGGGGAGUACGACCGCAAGGUUGAUACUCAAAGGAAUUGACGGGGGCCCGCACAAGCGGUGUAGCAUGUGGUUUAAUUCGAAGCAACGCGAAGAACCUUACCAGGUCUUGACAUCCAGUGC